AUGCGAAGUCGAGCGGGAUGAAGGGAGCUUGCUCCUGGAUUUAGCGGCGGACGGGUGAGUAAUGCCUAGGAAUCUGCCUGGUAGUGGGGGAUAACGUUCCGAAAGGAACGCUAAUACCGCGUACGUCCUACGGGAGAAAGCAGGGGACCUUCGGGCCUUGCGCUAUCAGAUGAGCCUAGGUCGGAUUAGCUAGUUGGUGAGGUAAUGGCUCACCAAGGCGACGAUCCGUAACUGGUCUGAGAGGAUGAUCAGUCACACUGGAACUGAGACACGGUCCAGACUCCUACGGGAGGCAGCAGUGGGGAAUAUUGGACAAUGGGCGAAAGCCUGAUCCAGCCAUGCCGCGUGUGUGAAGAAGGUCUUCGGAUUGUAAAGCACUUUAAGUUGGGAGGAAGGGUUGUACGUUAAUACCGUGCAAUUUUGACGUUACCGACAGAAUAAGCACCGGCUAACUUCGUGCCAGCAGCCGCGGUAAUACGAAGGGUGCAAGCGUUAAUCGGAAUUACUGGGCGUAAAGCGCGCGUAGGUGGUUCAGUAAGUUGGAAGUGAAAUCCCCGGGCUCAACCUGGGAACUGCUUUCAAAACUGCUGAGCUAGAGUACGGUAGAGGGUAGUGGAAUUUCCUGUGUAGCGGUGAAAUGCGUAGAUAUAGGAAGGAACACCAGUGGCGAAGGCGACUACCUGGACUGAUACUGACACUGAGGUGCGAAAGCGUGGGGAGCAAACAGGAUUAGAUACCCUGGUAGUCCACGCCGUAAACGAUGUCAACUAGCCGUUGGGAUCCUUGAGAUCUUAGUGGCGCAGCUAACGCAUUAAGUUGACCGCCUGGGGAGUACGGCCGCAAGGUUAAAACUCAAAUGAAUUGACGGGGGCCCGCACAAGCGGUGGAGCAUGUGGUUUAAUUUGAAGCAACGCGAAGAACCUUACCUGGCCUUGACAUGCUGAGAACUUUCCAGAGAUGGAUUGGUGCCUUCGGGAGCUCAGACACAGGUGCUGCAUGGCUGUCGUCAGCUCGUGUCGUGAGAUGUUGGGUUAAGUCCCGUAACGAGCGCAACCCUUGUCCUUAGUUACCAGCACCUCGGGUGGGCACUCUAAGGAGANUGCCGGUGACAAACCGGAGGAAGGUGGGG
rnacentral:rRNA from 1 species